UCCCCAGUGACGCAAUUAAUUAACGCGCUGUACUUAUAAUGCUGAGACUGUGAGUUCGAGCCUCAUCUGGGGAU